rnacentral:rRNA from 1 species
UACGGAAGGUCCGGGCGUUAUCCGGAUUUAUUGGGUUUAAAGGGAGCGUAGGCCGGUUUUUAAGCGUGCUGUGAAAUCGAGUGGCUCAACCACUGAAGUGCAGCGCGAACUGGAGACCUUGAGUGCGCGGGAGGCAGGCGGAAUUCGUGGUGUAGCGGUGAAAUGCUUAGAUAUCACGAGGAACCCCGAUUGCGAAGGCAGCCUGCCGCAGCGUUACUGACGCUGAAGCUCGAAGGUGCGGGUAUCGAAC